UUAGAAAGCAUUUCCCUUGGACUAUAGUUUAAAUGGAAAGAGGCUUGUUUCUAUUUUUUGUUUUUAAUAUUGACAGUGCUUAACAUAGUGCCUUGCAUACAGUAGAAGCCUAAGGUUAAUUGAGUUAGUCUUGUCGAUAUUGACAUCUUAUUUCAAUUGGCCAUAUAUAGACACUCAUAGCAUCUACUACACAUCUUCUUGACCCUUCUAAGGCUAGGAAAGGACUCUGGUAUCCGUUCUGGAUUUUUCUGAAAGUAGCCCUGGAUAAUGUGAAUGAGCCAUGGGCAUCUGCUUCCAGAGGAAUUGUGGCAGAUGAAGAGACAGCUGGGAAAGGAUGAAAUUGUCUCUAAACUUCUAUGCCUUGGUGUGGGAUAUGAGCUCCUCAUUAGCAGCCUUGCAGAAAACAAUUACAGGAAGCCUAGAUUAGAAGACAGCUUGAUCUCAAACUGUGUGAGAAGGUGGACCAGAUCAGGUAGGUCACUGAUAUGGACCACAGAGUCUUGGGAAUGAUCGAGCAGGAAGAGAUUUUGUCAACACCAUGUUUUUGCAAUUUGAUUCGGCCAUCCAUUCGAUUGGCAGUUAAAUCUGUUUCCUGGGUACUGUAAAAAUUAAAAUUAUAUCUUAAUAAAAAUAUUAUAUUUCAAGGGAUUUGUUAAAUG
rnacentral:lncRNA from 1 species